rnacentral:rRNA from 1 species
UCGAGAAUUUUUCACAAUGGGCGAAAGCCUGAUGGAGCGACGCCGCGUGGGGGAUGAAUGGCUUCGGCCCGUAAACCCCUGUCAUUUGCGAUCAAACCUCACAACUUAAUACGUCGUGAGUUGAUAGUAGCAAAAGAGGAAGGGACGGCUAACUCUGUGCCAGCAGCCGCGGUAAUACAGAGGUCCCAAGCGUUGUUCGGAUUCACUGGGCGUAAAGGGUGCGUAGGCGGUCGGGUAAGUCUGACGUGAAAUCCUGGAGCUUAACUCCGGAACUGCGUCGGAAACUAUUCGGCUAGAGGAUUGGAAGGGGGACUGGAAUUCUCGGUGUAGCAGUGAAAUGCGUAGAUAUCGAGAGGAACACCCGUGGCGAAGGCGAGUCCCUGGACAAUUCCUGACGCUGAGGCACGAAAGCUAUGGGAGCAAACA